rnacentral:rRNA from 1 species
AUUGAACGCUGGCGGCAGGCCUAACACAUGCAAGUCGAACGAGUGGCGGACGGGUGAGUAAUGUCUGGGAAACUGCCUGAUGGAGGGGGAUAACUACUGGAAACGGUAGCUAAUACCGCAUACCAUCAGAUGUGCCCAGAUGGGAUUAGCUAGUUGGUGGGGUAACGGCGCACAAAGGCGACGAUCACUAGCUGGUCUGAGAGGAUGACCAGACAUACUGGAACGGAUACACGGUCCAGACUCCUACGGGAGGCAGCAGUGGGGAAUAUUGCAAAAUGGGCACAAGCCUGAUGCAGCCAUGCCGCGUGUAUGAAGAAGGCCUUCGGGUUGUAAAGUACUUUCAGCGUGUAGGCGUUACCCGCAGAAGAAGCACCGGCUAACUCCGUGCCAGCAGCCGCGGUAAUUC